rnacentral:rRNA from 1 species
CUUGACCUCGGAUCAGGUAGGGAUACCCGCUGAACUUAAGCAUAUCAAUAAGCGGAGGAAAAGAAACCAACAGGGAUUGCCCUAGUAACGGCGAGUGAAGCGGCAACAGCUCAAAUUUGAAAUCUGGCGUCUUCGGCGUCCGAGUUGUAAUUUGCAGAGGGCGCUUUGGCAUUGGCAGCGGUCCAAGUUCCUUGGAACAGGACGUCACAGAGGGUGAGAAUCCCGUACGUGGUCGCUAGCCUUUACCGUGUAAAGCCCCUUCGACGAGUCGAGUUGUUUGGGAAUGCAGCUCUAAAUGGGAGGUAAAUUUCUUCUAAAGCUAAAUACUGGCCAGAGACCGAUAGCGCACAAGUAGAGUGAUCGAAAGAUGAAAAGCACUUUGGAAAGAGAGUUAAAAAGCACGUGAAAUUGUUGAAAGGGAAGCGCUUGCAGCCAGACUUGCCUGUAGUUGCUCAUCCGGGUUUCUACCCGGUGCACUCUUCUAUAGGCAGGCCAGCAUCAGUUUGGGCGGUUGGAUAAAGGUCUCUGUCAUGUACCUCUCUUCGGGGAGAACUUAUAGGGGAGACGACAUGCAACCAGCCUGGACUGAGGUCCGCGCAUCUGC